CCCUUAGAUGUUCUGGGCCGCACGCGCGCUACACUGAUGCAUUCAACGAGUCUAAAACCUGGUCUGAUAGGGCUGGGUAAUCUUUUGAAAGUGCAUCGUGAUUGGGAUAGAUGAUUGCAAUUCUUCAUCUUCAACGAGGAAUGCCUAGUAAACGCAAGUCAUCAGCUUGCAUUGAUUACGUCCCUGCCCUUUGUACACACCGCCCGUCGCUCCUACCGAUUGAGUGGUCCGGUGAGGCUUUGGGAUCUGAGCAAAGAGAGCGUUUCGCUCGUUUUGCCCGGAAAACUCAGUCGAACCUUAUCAUUUAGAGGAAGGAGAAGUCGUAACA
rnacentral:rRNA from 1 species